CCUACGGGCGGCAGCAGUAGGGAAUAUUGCUCAAUGGGGGAAACCCUGAACCAGCCACGCCGCGUGGAGGAUGACGGUCUUAUGAUUGUUAACUCCCUUUUUGAGAGAAGCUAAUGACGGUCUCUCCCGACUAAGCAACUGCCAACUCCGUGACCGCAGGCUCGGUCAUACGGAGGGUGCACGCGGUACUCGGCAUCACUGGGGUUAAAGGGGGCGGUGGCGGGUAUUUAAGUCAGAUGUGAAAUCUUGGAGCUUAAACACAGAACUGCAUUUGAAACUAGGGGUCUAGAGUGUGGGAGAGGUAGGUGGAAUGCGUGGUGUAGGGGUAAAAUGCGUAGAUAUCAAGAGGAACACUCAUUGCGAAGGCGACCUACUGGAACAUAACUGACGCUCAGGCACGAAAGCGUGGGUAGCGAACAGGAUUAGAUACCCCAGUAGUC
rnacentral:rRNA from 1 species